GUGAAUCAUCGAAUUUUUGAACGCAAAUUGCACUCUCUGGUAUUCCGGGGAGUAUGCCUGUUUGAGGGUCAGUAUAAAUAAAAAUCGGUAUGGUUGCUGCCUUUCGUGGUGACGCACCGGAUUUGGGUCGUCUUGCCUUCGGUUAAGUGACCUAAAAUUUUGCAUGCUUUUUUUGAUACGUAUUUUAAUGGUUUUACUUAAAUUUGCG
rnacentral:misc_RNA from 1 species